AUUGAACGCUGGCGGCAUGCCUAACACAUGCAAGUCGAGCGGAGCUGCGGACGGGUGGGUAAUGCCUAGUAAGCUGCCUGUUAGUGAGCGAUAACGUCCUGAAACGGGCGCUAAUACCGCAUACUAGCAAAUGACCCUCGGUCGGAUUAGCUAGUUGGUGGGGUAAAGGCUUACCAAGGCGACGAUCCGUCACUGGUCUGAGAGGAUGAUCAGUAACACUGGGACUGAGACACGGUCCAGACUCCUACGGGAGGCAGCAGUGGGGAAUAUUGGACAAUGGGCGAAAGCCUGAUCCAGCCAUGCCGCGUGAGUGAAGAAGGUCUUCGGAUUGUAAAGCACUUUAAGUUGGGAGGCGUUACCAAAAGAAAAAGCAACGGCUAACUACGUGCCAGCAGCCGCGGUAAUAC
rnacentral:rRNA from 1 species